AUACUCUGAAAUGAACUCCUUACUCUGAACUCUUACUUCUGUGCUAAUUGAAUUCUUUAAGAGGGGUAGUCUGUAGUCAGCUACUUACAGAAAGGGAUCAACUUCUUCAAAUGGAACAAAAGGCAAAGUAGGUUGAAGUUAUUUAACAAAGUGAGAUAAAUGCAGGAAUCAUCUUGUGAAUUUACAUGUUUCAAAUCUAGAUUUUUAAUUGGCUGUCAUGUGUCAUCAGAUUUGAUACUUACAAUAGAGACCUAUGUUCUUGUUUCCUCUUAUAUUGUGUGCAUGUUCUAAAAGUGUUGAUGCUAAAUUAAAAUUCUAUGUUCCAAAAUAUAGUUAUAAGUUUCUUGUUCCAGAAAUUGUUUAAUGAAGUUUUUUGAAAACAAAACUGCAGUUGGUGGAACUGAAAGAAGCCGAGAAGCAAUCUCUUAAGGAAUCUGAAAGAUUAGAAAAGGAAGUUGCUGAAGUGCAAGAGUUGAAGAAAAAACUCAGUACCAUGCUGCAGAAGAGUACUUCGCGAAGCAUCCCGAGUUAAAGAAGAAAUUUGAUGAUGAAAUUCGAAAUGAUUACUGGGGCUACUAAUUAGCCUAAUGAGCAGUUUUUGGGAUCCUCCUGUGGCGUGGAUUCUAUGUGUUCAUCUGUUAUUUAGAAAUAAAACGGAAGAACCAAUUGGUUUGUUUUUCAUUUGCUGGGCUAUUUUGAAGAAUUUUAACAGCUACAAUGUACUUCAGCUCUGAGACAAAUGUAGCAUCUGUUUGGAGGAUAAAGAUGUCUUGAGUGGACAAGUAUAUCAUCAUUCCAUUUCUGAAGAAAUCUUGAAUUCUUUUCUA